rnacentral:ncRNA from 2 species
GCUCCUGAGUGACAGCGCGAAGUACCUGGCUGGCUGUCCGGCAACCUCUCCUCCGUCUGAGGUGCUCCCAGGGGAAGAGCCGGCCGCGCUGCGCCCGCAGCACGGCAAGGACGGAGC